rnacentral:rRNA from 1 species
CCUACGGGGGGCAGCAGUGGGGAAUAUUGGGCAAUGGAGGCAACUCUUACCCAGCAAUGCCGCGUGAAUGAAGAAGGUCUUCGGAUUGUAAAGUUCUUUAAUUGGGGACGAAAAAAAUGACGGUACCCAAGGAAUAAGCCCCGGCUAACUACGUGCCAGCAGCGGCGGUAAUACGGAGGGGGCAAGCAUUGUUCGGAAUGACUGGGCGGAAAGGGUGUGAAGGCGGUGUAACAAGUUAGAAGUGAAAUACCUAGAGCUUAACUCAGGUGCUGCUUCUAAAACUGCUAUACUUGAGUGCAGGAGAGGAAAGUGGAAUUCCUAGUGUAGCGGUGGAAUGCGUAGAUAUUAGGAGGAACAUCAGUGGCGAAGGCGACUUUCUGGACUGUAACUGACGCUGAGGCACGAAAGUGUGGGGAGCAAACAGGAUUAGAUACCCCUGUAGUC